rnacentral:RNase_P_RNA from 1 species
CGAGUAUACUAAGUAAUUGCGCAUAUUAACAAUAUGUGAGGAAAGUCCGAACUCCACAGAGCAAAAUAACGGCUAACAGCCGCCGGGGGCGACCCUAGGGAAAGUGCAACAGAAAAUUACCGCCAUAUAUUAUAGUGAGAUUUUUUUAAAAACAAUGACAUUUUUGUUUUCUCCCACAAUAAAGUCAGGUUGUGGGUCAAAUUAGUUGAUGAUAUCUUUCCCCCCGCUGAACGCGGGGAGGAGAAAAAAGAAGUUUCAACUAUUUUAAGACAUGAUCCAAAGUCGGGAGCAAAAACGGGGUGUGGGUCAAAUUAGUUGAUAAUAUUUUCCUCCCCGCCAGAACGCGUGGGAGAAAAAAGAAGUUUCAACUAUUUCAGGCACGACCGAGUUUAUACUUCAUAAAUGAUUUUUACUAUGAUAUGGUAAGGUUGAAAAGGCGAGGUAAGAGCUCACCAGUAUUUAGGAGACUAAAUAGCUGUGUAAACCCUAUUUGGAGCAACACCGUGGUUUGUGGAUGUAUUAAACGCUUGCUCGGCGGCAUUCACUUAAAGGUGGCACUAUGCUGGUGACGGCAACGCACAGCUAAGAUAGAUAAUUACUCUCGACAGAAUUCGGCUUAUCGGUAUACUCAAAUA